UACGUAGGGUGCAAGCGUUGUCCGGAAUUAUUGGGCGUAAAGAGCUCGUAGGCGGUCUGUUGCGUCGGCCGUGAAAACCUGCAGCUUAACUGUGGGCUUGCGGUCGAUACGGGCAUCACUGGAGUUCGGCAGGGGAGACUGGAAUUCCUGGUGUAGCGGUGAAAUGCGCAGAUAUCAGGAGGAACACCGGUGGCGAAGGCGGGUCUCUGGGCCGAUACUGACGCUGAGGAGCGAAAGUGUGGGGAGCGAACAGG
rnacentral:rRNA from 1 species